rnacentral:rRNA from 1 species
GACGAACGCUGGCGGCGUGCCUAAUACAUGCAAGUCGAACGCUGAAGCGAGGAGCUUACUCUUCUUGGAUGAGGUGCGAACGGGUGAGUAACGCGUAGGUAACCUGCCUUGUAGCGGGGGAUAACGAUUGGAAACGAUAGCUAAUACCGCAUAACAAUGGAUGACACAUGUCAUUGAUUUGAAAGGGGCAAUGGCUCCACUACAAGAUGGACCUGCGUUGUAUGAGCUAGUAGGGGAGGUAAUGGCUUACCUAGGCGGCGAUUCAUAGCCGACCGCCGAGGGUGGUAGGCGGCCCUGGGGCUUGGACGGCGCCCAGACGCCUGCGGGAGGCAGCAGUAGGCAACCGUCGGCAAUGGGGGCGACCCUUGCCGAGCGACGCCGCGCGAGUGGAGACGACUUUCGGAUCGUGAUGACCUGUUGUAAGUCAAGAACCGGUGUGGGAGUGGAAAGUUCACACUGUGACGGUAGCUGAUCAGAAAGGGCCGGCUAACUACGUG